GACGAACGCUGGCGGCGUGCUUAACACAUGCAAGUCGAACGGAAAGGCCCUGCUUGCAGGGUAUUCGAGUGGCGAACGGGGGAGUAACACGCGGGUGAACUGCCCUGCACUUCGGGAUAAGCCUUGGAAACUGGGGCUAAUACCGGAUAGGAGCCAUUCUGAGUGUGAUGGUUGGAAAGUUUUUUCGGUGUAGGGUGAGCUCGCGGCCUAUCAGCUUGGUGGUGGGGUAAUGGCCUACCAAGGCGGCGGCGGGUAGCCGGCCUGGGGGGGUGGACGGCCACAUUGGGACUGAGAUACGGCCCAGGCUCCUACGGGGGGGCGCAGUGGGGAAAAUUGCACAAUGGGCGCAAGCCUGAUGCAGCGACGCCGCGUGGGGGAUGACGGGCUUCGGGUUGGAAACUCCUUUCGCUAGGGACGAAGCUUUUUGUGACGGUACCUAGAUAAGAAGCACCGGCUAACUACGUG
rnacentral:rRNA from 1 species